rnacentral:rRNA from 1 species
AGAAUAAAAAUUUAUUAAUUAUGUAAUUUAUAAAUAAUUUUUAAUAAAAGGAAUUUUGUAAUAAAGUUUUUAGUAUAGUUUAUAGAAAAAAUUAAGUUAAUAAUAGAAAAGUAGUAUUGUGAAAGAAUAUUGAAAUAUAUUGAAAAAGAUUUUAUUUUAAAGAAAUAUUAAUUUUAUGUACCUUUUGUAUCAGGGUUUAUUAAUUAAAUUUUAUUAAUAAAUAAAUUUCUCGAAUUUAAAAGAUUUAAUAAAUUAUUAGAGUUAAUGUGGAAUAAUUAUUUUGUAUAAUUUAUUGGUAAUGAAAUGUUAGUCGUUUUUAAAUAUAUCUAGUUUUUUAAGAAAUAAAUUCAAUUUACAUUUUUAAAAGUACAAUUUUUUAUUUAGUUAAAAAUAUUGUUUUUUUUUAUGAAUAUAUUAAGGGAUAAGCUUUAAUUUAAUGUCUAUAAUAAAGGUUAUAAAAAUUAUAAAUAUAAGGUUAGAAAUAUCUAUUAUUAAUAAGUUUGUUUUAAUUUAUAUAAAUGAUUUAUAAUUUAUUCUUAUUUAGAUUUUUUAUUAAAAUAAUUAUUUUAAUGGGUAAAAUAAUGAAAUAAUGAUAAAAUUAGUAUAAAAAUUUGUUAAUUAUUAAUUUAAAAAAUAGAUUAAGUUAAGGAAUUCAGCAAAUUAAUACUCACCUGUUUAACAAAAACAUGUCUUUUUGAUUAUAAUUUAAAGUCUAACCUGCCCACUGAAUUUUUUAAAGGGCCGCGGUAUUUUGACUGUGCAAAGGUAGCAUAAUCAUUAGUCUUUUAAUUGGAGGCUUGUAUGAAUGGUUGGAUGAGGUAUUAACUGUCUCAAUUUAAUAAAUAAUAGAAUUUUAUUUUUAAGUUAAAAAGCUUAAAUUUAAUUAAAAGACGAGAAGACCCUAUAGAUCUUUAUAAUUUAUUAUGUAAUAAUUUUUUAGGUAAAAUUUAUUUUUAUAUAAUUAAUUAUUUUAUUGGGGUGAUAAAAAAAUUUAUAAAACUUUUUUUGUGUUUAAACAGUGAUAUUUGAUUAUUUGAUCCAUUUUUUGUGAUUAUAAGAUUAAGUUACCUUAGGGAUAACAGCGUAAUUUUUUUGGAGAGUUCUUAUCGAUAAAAAAGAUUGCGACCUCGAUGUUGAAUUAAAGGUUAAUUUUAGGUGUAGAAGUUUAAAAUUUUGGUCUGUUCGACCAUUAAAUCUUUACAUGAUUUGAGUUCAAACCGGCGUGAGCCAGGUUGGUUUCUAUCUUUAAUAAAAUAAAAUAUUUUAGUACGAAAGGACCAAAUAUUUAAAAAAUUUUUUAAAAGUGAAUAAUAUUAAU